GACGAACGCUGGCGGCGUGCCUAAUACAUGCAAGUCGAACGCUGAAGGAGGAGCUUGCUUCUCUGGAUGAGUUGCGAACGGGUGAGUAACGCGUAGGUAACCUGCCUGGUAGCGGGGGAUAACUAUUGGAAACGAUAGCUAAUACCGCAUAAUAGUAGAUGUUGCAUGACAUUUGCUUAAAAGGUGCAAUUGCAUCACUACCAGAUGGACCUGCGUUGUAUUAGCUAGUUGGUGGGGUAACGGCUCACCAAGGCGACGAUACAUAGCCGACCUGAGAGGGGGAGCGGCCACACUGGGACUGAGACACGGCCCAGACUCCUACGGGAGGCAGCAGUAGGGAAUCUUCGGCAAUGGACGGAAGUCUGACCGAGCAACGCCGCGUGAGUGAAGAAGGUUUUCGGAUCGUAAAGCUCUGUUGUAAGAGAAGAACGAGUGUGAGAGUGGAAAGUUCACACUGUGACGGUAUCUUACCAGAAAGGGACGGCUAACUACGUG
rnacentral:rRNA from 1 species